CUAAGGAUUCGAAGAAACACUAAAGGAGCUGAAUCUAACCAUACCUUUUUAGUCUCGUCCUGGACUUACCUACCUGACUGCAGAGCUAGCGAUCCAACCUCAAAUCUACUUGGAAACUCUUAGCGAUCUAUCCUGCAAUCUAUCUAUGGCUACGAACCCCCUGGCCAGUUCAACUUUUUCACGACUAGAGCUGUAUGAAACUCCUGUUCUUGAAAUACAUGCUUGAAUAAACUUGUCCGUGCAUUAAAGAGGUGCGCCAGGGUAUAUUGGAUGCUCGUCCAUUAUGUUUGUAAGCCUCCUACCAGCUCCUCCUGGG